GGGGAACUUGAAGCCUCAAUAAACUGCGAAGAGUGAACUGUCUAAGUGGACUUUCGAGCAAACAUCUAGACAAACAAACUCUAGCUAGUCCAUGGGUUCC